CAGCAGCCACGGUAAUACGGAGGGUGCAAGCGUUAAUCGGAAUUACUGGGCGUAAAGCGUGCGUAGGCGGUUCGUUAAGUCUGUUGUGAAAGCCCCGGGCUCAACCUGGGAAUGGCAAUGGAUACUGGCGAGCUAGAGUGUGUCAGAGGAUGGUGGAAUUCCCGGUGUAGCGGUGAAAUGCGUAGAGAUCGGGAGGAACAUCAGUGGCGAAGGCGGCCAUCUGGGACAACACUGACGCUGAGGCACGAAAGCGUGGGGAGCAAACAGGAUUAGAUACCCCCGUAGUCCCUGUCUCUUAUAC
rnacentral:rRNA from 1 species